CCACUUCAUGUGUCUCGUGUUCACGGAGACGUUCCAUGAUUUUUUGUACGAUCUCUGACGGAGCUACAUACGGCGAGCCUGUGAAAAUGCCAACGAUGAAUUAGAAAAUUUUAUGGUAUCAAAGUUGAAGAGAAAUGCGACCGCAGAGCCAAGAUUGCAAAUGUAUAGUAAAUCCAUAUAUGGUAUAGUAAAGCCAUAUCGAAUUGAAACUAUUCUACGAAAUAAAUGACAGAACAGAAUUGCCUAGCUACUCUGUCCUACACAUGCAUGCGAAGUAGUCGGGAUAAAUUUCACCAAUUUAUCAACGACCUUCUAUAACAGAAAGAUUUUAUCGGACACAUCAAACAAUAUAAUAUAAAAUAACAAUAAGAAGCAAAUCAGUGAAUACAGUCAACAUGCGUGGCUGGAAUAAAAUAGUCGAGUUACGCAGCAGGUGCUAAUUAUUAUUGUCGACUGGAGUACAUGAACGAAGCCAACAACGAACUGCAAAGUAAAUUAUGAA